rnacentral:rRNA from 1 species
AUUGAACGCUGGCGGCAGGCCUAACACAUGCAAGUCGAACGAGUGGCGGAGGGGAGAGUAAUGUCUGAGAAACUGCCUGAUGGAGGGGGAUCACUACUGGAAACGGUAGCUAAUACCGCAUACCAUCGGAUGUGCCCAUAUGGGAUGAGCUAGUAGGGGGGGUAAAGGCUCCACUAGGCGACGAUCCCUAGCUGGUCUGAGAGGAUGACCAGCCACACGGGAACUGAGACACGGUCCAGACUCCUACGGGAGGCAGCAGUGGGGAAUAUUGCACAAUGGGCGCAAGCCUGAUGCAGCCAUGCCGCGUGUAUGAAGAAGGCCGUCGGGUUGUAAAGUACUUUCAGCGGGGAGGCGUUACCCGCAGAAGAAGCACCGGCUAACUCCGUGCCAGCAGCCGCGGUAAUAC